AACGAACGCUGGCGGCAUGCCUAACACAUGCAAGUCGAACGAGACCUUCGGGUCUAGUGGCGCACGGGUGCGUAACGCGUGGGAACCUGCCCUUAGGUUCGGAAUAACUCCCCGAAAGGGGUGCUAAUACCGGAUAAUGUCUUAGGACCAAAGAGUUAUCGCCUUUGGAUGGGCGCGCGUUGGAUUAGCUAGUUGGUAGGGGAAAAGCCUACCAAGGGGACGAUCCAUAGCUGGUGUGAGAGGAUGAUCAGCCACACUGGGACUGAGACACGGCCCAGACUCCUACGGGAGGCAGCAGAGGGGAAUAUUGGACGAGGGGCGAAGGCCUGAUACAGCAAUGCCGGGUGAGUGAUGAAGGCCUUAGGGUUGUAAAGCUGUUUUAGCCGGGAUGAUAAUGACAGUACCGGGAGAAUAAGCUCCGGCUAACUCCGUG
rnacentral:rRNA from 1 species